rnacentral:rRNA from 1 species
GACGAACGCUGGCGGCGUGCCUAAUACAUGCAAGUCGAACGAGAAUUUUUUACACCGAGUGCUUGCACUCACCGUAAGAAAUUCGAGUGGCGGACGGGUGAGUAACACGUGGGUAACCUGCCCAAAAGAAGGGGAUAACAUUUGGAAACAAAUGCUAAUACCGUAUACCAUGAUGACCGCAUGGUCAUUAUGUAAAAGGUGGUUUUGCUAUCGCUUUUGGAUGAACCCGCGGCGUAUUAACUAGUUGGUAGGGUAACGGCCUACCAAGGUGUUGAUACGUAGCCGAGUUGAGAGACUGAUCGGCCACAAUGGGACUGAGACACGGCCCAUACUCCUACGGGAGGCAGCAGUAGGGAAUCUUCCACAAUGGGCGCAAGCCUGAUGGAGCAACGCCGCGUGAAUGAAGAAGGUCUUCGGAUCGUAAAAUUCUGUUGUUAGAGAAGAAUAUGAGUAAUAGUAACUGAUUAUUCACUGACGGUAUCUAACCAGCAAGUCACGGCUAACUACGUGCCAGCAGCCGCAAUAA